UAAUAUUAUCAGUAUUUAGCACGGUUAAAAAUGUAUUUAGAUAUAUUAAAGGUAGGUAUAUCUUAAACCGUGGUAUUUAGACAUCCGUAAGUUAAAUAAUGUCACGAUAUAAAUAAUCAUCGUCAUUUCUAGGAAAAUAUAAAAAGUAAAUACCUACCUACACUAAAAAUAAAACCCAUAUUUCCUAUUAUUGAGAACCGUCCAAAAUGACUCUCAAAACACGCCCAUACUCCAUAUCGAUAUCGCGUUACCAUUUUAUAACUCAAAUUGUAUAAUUCAAAAUUAUGAACUGAGACAUUGUUCAUAUGCCCCCGCAUCUGGCCGCUGGGUAUGCGAGGGCAUACCCUGCAUACCCCGUUCGCUCGCCUAUGUAAACACAACAAAUUGAAGACAAAUUCAACGAAUGCUUAAAAGCCGACGUAAAUACAGUAUAAGAAAACAAAAAUUGAUUGCAAAACGUAAAAGUAAUCAUUGUAAAUUUAAACAAAUUGUAAACAUGUUCACAUACCUAUCAUAUUUUUACUUAUAAUUAUAAUAGUAAUUUAAUUGGUAAUCAAUGACAGCCACUUAAAUAAACAAAAAUAUAUUCGAUUUACUUGAGCCAAAGUAAAUUCAUCUGUUAGCCAGCCAUAGUUAACCAGCCUAUAUAGCAACUUGUAGGGGACAAAAAAUAAGCUACAGGAAUCGAUUCAUAUAACUUUUAAUAAAAACUGUUUAUUAGUUUUUGAGUACAUAGAAAAUAAGCAAGCGAACAAACAUUAAUUUUUAUACAUUAUACAGAUUUCUAGAAUAUUUUUUCAACUUUGGAUAAAAAUAUUUUUUGAUGACCAUAUUUUCACGAAAAGCUAAUUUCUUAAAUGUAAAAUAGUAGUUUCCACUUAAAAAACGACUGGUAUGUCAUAACCAAAGAUCAUAUGAAAUAGAUAUCUAUUUCCAGAAAAUUUUGAUUACAUGCACUAUUUAUAAUUUACAUACAUAUAUAUUAAUAUUAUAAUUUAUAAAGUUGCGGUAACGGGUAAGUACCUACAUGUCAAGUAAUAAACUAUGGUUAAUAUACCAUCCUUGGACCUUCUUACCUAUAUUUUUUUAGAAAAACAGAGUGCAUAACAUUUUUCCUAUAUUUUACCUACUGCUGCUGGGUAGUACUAAUUUUAAUCAAAAAUAAUUUAGUGUAGUAGUAUUGGUUUAUUGAAAACCUAGAUGAUUUGUCACAUGUAUGUGGGCGAAUCCCGACUAAAAAAUAUUAAGACAUUAGACCAGGGGCGAAGCGCACAUGCUUACACGUGAAAAAAAAAGUUUUUUUGAUUAAAAUUAAGUCAAAUAAUUGAUUUUAAAAAAUCUAUCAGUUAUUUUUAAGAUGGGUAACACAAUGGUACGGUAGGCCUAUGCUGGUAGCAUAUAAGCAAAGCGUACAUUGUUAGAGAACCCAAUGAAAAUGCUGUUCUACGAUUGGCUCUAAUCCCAAUGAGAUAACGACCUGAAUUAUCAAUUAUCUGUUAUCAGUUAUCAAGUUUUGUUCUGAAUUUUGAAUGUUGUUAAGACGUUUUAACUUUUAACUUUAAAUAAUUUAAUUUAAAUUAAUAAAAACCGAAAAUGAUAUUUCCAACAAAAUAUACAAAUGAAAUUGUUGGAGAAAUUGGGAAUACCUUUAACAUCCGUUCAAACCUAAAAUGUAUGGAAGAUAUUAAUAAUUGGGUUUCUGAAUUUGGGGAGUUGAAUUUUACUCAUUGGAACUAUCGCUCCAGUAUUCCGAAUGGCCAACGAAUUGUGUGCUCUAAAAAGUUUGUGUGCCAACAUAGUAGUUUUAAAAAACCAGAUGUGAAUAAAAAAGGAUUAUCUAAAAAUGCGAAUUGCCCAGCUACAAUUGAUAUAACAAUAAAACUUAAUACUACUGCAACCAAAAAAAAAGACCCAUUUAUAAAGGAAUUUUUUUGGAGUUGGUGAUUUUUUGUGUAAUUACAUGUUUGUAUGAACCCCCCUUUUUUACUGUAAAUUAUUUAGCAGAUUUGUUCAUUAACUCGACAGACUUUGACUUUGGAUAGUCUUCCAUUGGGUCAACAAGGAAGGUGGUCAAAACAAUAAUUAAUAUGUUUGUAGUGA